AAGGAUGUUAAUGCCAAGAAACUGUGACUCAAGAAAAAAAAGCUCCAACUGCAUGCCAGAGUAACUGGAGAGACUUUGACAGCCCAGGCCAGCACAGUGCCUAUAGCUGCCACUCGACUUUCCUAUACAU